rnacentral:rRNA from 1 species
UAGGGAAUCUUCGGCAAUGGGGGCAACCCUGACCGAGCAACGCCGCGUGAGUGAAGAAGGUUUUCGGAUCGUAAAGCUCUGUUGUAAGAGAAGAACGUGUGUGAGAGUGGAAAGUUCACACAGUGACGGUAACUUACCAGAAAGGGACGGCUAACUACGUGCCAGCAGCCGCGGUAAUACGUAGGUCCCGAGCGUUGUCCGGAUUUAUUGGGCGUAAAGCGAGCGCAGGCGGUUUAAUAAGUCUGAAGUUAAAGGCAGUGGCUUAACCAUUGUUCGAUUUGGAAACUAUUAAACUUGAGUGCAGAAGGGGAGAGUGGAAUUCCAUGUGUAGCGGUGAAAUGCGUAGAUAUAUGGAAGAACACCGGUGGCGAAAGCGGCUCUCUGGUCUGUAACUGACGCUGAGGCUCGAAAGCGUGGGGAGCAAACAGG